AGUGAACGCUGGCGGUAGGCCUAACACAUGCAAGUCGAACGGCAGCACAGUAAGAGCUUGCUCUUACGGGUGGCGAGUGGCGGACGGGUGAGGAAUACAUCGGAAUCUACUUUUUCGUGGGGGAUAACGUAGGGAAAAUUACGCUAAUACCGCAUAUGACCUACGGGUGAAAGCAGGGGAUCUUCGGAACUUGUGCGAUUGAAUGAGCCGCUGUCGGAUUAGCUAGUUGGCGGGGUAAAGGCCCACCAAGGCGACGAUCCGUAGCUGGUGGGAGAGGAUGGACGGCCACACUGGAACUGAGACACGAUCCAGACUCCGACGGGAGGCAGCAGUGGGGAAUAUUGGACAAUGGGCGCAAGCCUGAUCCAGCCAUACCGCGUGGGUGAAGAAGGCCUUCGGGUUGUAAAGCCCUUUUGUUGGGAAAGAAAAGCAGCAGGUUAAUACCCCGCUGUUCUGACGGUACCCAAAGAAUAAGCACCGGCUAACUUCGUG
rnacentral:rRNA from 1 species